GUGGAAUGGAGGGAGGGUGGAGGUGGAGGGAAUGGAAUGGAAUGGAAUGGAGGGGAAUGGAAUGGGAGGCCCGUGGGUGGGAAUGGGACGGGGAGGCCUGAGGGGUAGUAAUGGUGGGACGUGGGGAGGCCUGAGGGGUAAUAAUGGUGGGACGUGGGGAGGCCUGAGGGGUAGUAAUGGUGGGACGUGGGAGGCCUGAGGGCAAUAGUGAGGGGACAUGAUGGGUGAUAGUGACGGUGACAACGUGGACACGGCAUCUCAGGUCUCCAUCGUGUUUGUGGGACAGGCCGCCUGCAUGGCAGCCGAGAGCCGUCUUGCUCUCCACGGGCACAGGAGGGGCACGUCUGCUGAGGGGCGAAAGGGGAAGCGGCGCAGCAGUGGGGCUUCCCCUUGCUGCCCACGGGCACCUGAGCCUUGGUGGGAGAGCCUGGUGGGGGGCGGGAAAGUUCCUCGGUGUGUCCCCUAGCCACCCAGGUUCCCGCCGGGGACCACCACAGCCUCCUUUGCUCUCUCUGCCUCUGUCUGCGGCUGCUGAGCCCUGGGGGGGGGAGGGGAGGAGGGCCGGCCUCGUGAGAGCUGUCGGGGCCUAAGGAACCAGCAGCCUGCACCCCACUCCUGUGGGCUGGCGGUGCGUGUCAGCCGACCCUGUCCCAGCGCCGGGUCAAGUGUGUUCCACAAGGUCUCAGACACUGCAGGGACACACGGCUGGGACCGGACACAGCCCAGGCACCCUCCAGUGCCUUCCUGAUGCCCCACAGCAGCAGCUGACAGAGAGCGAGAGACACAACCCCGAUGCCACUCAGCAGAGGACGGCACAGCAACCGAACCGCAGAGGCCAGUGCCACUCAGCAGAGGACGGCACAGCAACCGAACCGCAGAGGCCAGUGCCACUCAGCAGAGGACGGCACAGCAACCGAACCGCAGAGGCCAGUGCCACUCAGCAGAGGACGGCACAGCAACCGAACUGCAGAGGAGGCCGCGCUGCCCAACCGUCCACACCGUGGAGAAGAGCCCUGCGUGGAGCUGCACUCACCCCGCAGACGCGGCCUGUGCUGCAACCCUGAGGAAAGCCACAGCUUCCCCUUUCACAGGUAACAUGUGACCCUCACGGCGUGUGGGAGAACCUGAAAGAGGAAA
rnacentral:lncRNA from 1 species